CCACACACCGCCCCUCCUCUCCAUCCACCCCUCGACCUCUCUCUUUCCCUCUGCUCGUGCUCGGGCGCCGCCCCCAUCUCCCGCUCCGGUAGUGCCCCUACUGCUCUGCCGAGCCGACCUCUUCUUAGGGCGUGUCGGCAGGAGCAGAUCCACCUCUCCACUCCCUCUCGCGAUAGCGCUCCAGACCCCCACCCCACGCCCGGCCGCCGCUAGGGUAUCUUACCCUCGCUGCCCCGCCGCCACCUCUCCUCGCUUUCCCCCACCCCCGCCACACUGUUUGCCCUCUCAUGUUUCGAUCUGGAAAGCGGGAGAGGACUGAUCUUCAAGGCGUCGAGCUCUGAGCGACGGUGAAUGGGCAGCGCGGGCCUCGAGCAGGAUCAUGGGGGAGCAGGGGAGGCUGGAGGCUGCUCAUCAUAUCCACCCCCAUCACAUAGCCGCCCUCGCUCGCCAAGAAACUGAUGAGGGGGUCUGACCUCAGUGACCACUCUGGACGACACCUUUCCCCACCAGCCUCAUCCUCCUAAUUCGUUUUAAUCAUUCGAAUUUUUUUGUGUGACCACAAUUGAGAAAUACGAUGAUAUGAAUACAUCAAGGUGUUUUGAUUCUCCCCAUUCUGUAUGUUUGCAAUGGAGUGUAUAUAUUGUUGAUUUAUGUCAUGGUGUUUGAUUUUGAUCGCAAAGGAUUCAUGCAGAGAGAAAGUGCAAAAGCUAUGGGCAACUCCUAUAUGACUGGCGCCAUCGGUAAGGAUUUCUUUUAUCUCGUAAGCUAGCUUACUUUUGGGUCUAAGCAAAGUUUAUUUCUAUCACCGAUUUAUUCACCUUAUUGGGUCGGUGGGGUUAAUAUAUACUCCCCCGUUCCUAAAUACUUGUCUUUCUAAGCAUUUCAACAAAUGACUACAUACGGAGCAAAAUGAGUGAAUCUACACUCUAAAAUAUGUCUACAUACAUCCGUAUGUAGUAGUCAUUUGAAAUGUCUAGAAAGACAAAUAUUUAGGAACGGAGGGAGUAUACAUCAAAGCAUGUGGAGAGGAAUGACACUCACGGGCAAUUGUUGGCGUGAGCUGAUGCGAUCCCGCUGUGGCAAUUGGGAUGGGUAGAUGGGGAGGCAUGGUGGAGGCCGGUGGCAGCAUAUGGCAAGAUAACAAUGAGCGAGGCGGCGGCAGUGUACGGUGGCACGACCAUUGUGUGGCAGCCGUCGCAUAGACGUCGAAGGAGCACCAGCGACGCAUGCACACACACACACACUGCUGGUGCUGCUGGAGGCUAUGGGGCUGAGCGAGGAUGCGAGUGGGCUGGUAGCAUUACUAUCAAAAACACCGGCAUGGGUUGAUUCUUGGUAUCUAUAAUGCACGCGGCACGCCAUGGUCGUCUUCCACCACACUGCGGCCGCCACACGACGCCUCCAACCCUCCAAAGCAUGUCACCUCAAUGGUCGCCGUCGCCUCGUACUCCAGCUCUCCCAGCCACUACCGCAGGUCGCCGCCUCUGUCCCUCCAAAGAACAACGCCUCUCUGGUUGCAGCCUCCUUCCCACGGAGACCAACGACGGGGAGGAGGAGCUGGGCGAGGCAGGGAGGCCAAGGGCGAAGUGCAGUGGGAGCUUCAUUCGGAUAGAACGUGGUGUAGCCUUGUAGGUCAAGGGUUGACUCGUUAACAUCUUGCAGGCCUAAAGCUAUGUGAAAGGAUAUAGUUGAUACGUCUCCAACGUAUCUAUAAUUUUUGAUUGUUCCAUACUAUUAUAUUAUCUGUUUUGGAUAUUA